rnacentral:lncRNA from 1 species
AGCCAGCAUGAGGACACAGAUGCCCAGCAGACACAGCACUUUGGCAGCCACGAUCUUCAUGGUGCUGCCCUGCAGCAGCUCUCAGAGCGGGUGCAUCAGCAGGGGAAAGCACAGGGAAACUGCAGGGAAAGGUGCUCCUGGAGUUGGUAGCUCGUGCUCCUCAGCCCGCUCCUCCCAGCACGCAGCAGUCGGUGCCUCUGCCUCCUGGAUGUAUGGGCAGCCCAGAAACCU